rnacentral:rRNA from 1 species
UAGGGAAUCUUCCGCAAUGGACGAAAGUCUGACGGAGCAACGCCGCGUGAGUGAAGAAGGAUUUCGGUACGUAAAACUCUGUUGUUAGGGAAGAAAAAAUGUAUAGUAACUAUAUACAAAAGAGACGGUACCUAACCAGAAAGCCACGGCUAACUACGUGCCAGCAGCCGCGGUAAUACGUAGGUGGCAAGCGUUGUCCGGAAUUAUUGGGCGUAAAGCGCGCGCAGGUGGUUUAGAAAGUCUGAUGUGAAAGCCCACGGCUCAACCGUGGAGGGUCAUUGGAAACUAAUAAACUUGAGUGCAGGAGAGAAAAGUGGAAUUCCUAGUGUAGCGGUGAAAUGCGUAGAGAUUAGGAGGAACACCGGUGGCGAAAGCGGCUUUUUGGCCUGCAACUGACACUGAGGCGCGAAAGCGUGGGGAGCAAACAGG